rnacentral:ncRNA from 1 species
AAGGUAGAGGCGCAGCUUUCAAAAGUAACGAGACCGUUUAAUUCCGAUGAAAAGGCUCGCGAAAGGGGACGCUGCCGAAGCGCUGUGUUUGCGGAAGGGCACAGCCGCUGGUAUACGGCAUAAUAUGCCCUGUACUGUCACGUAAUGUGGAGAGCUAUCGUG